CACCUCACUCAGGAUCACAUCUGGAGAGUUUCCAGUACUCUACCAGUCUCGGCUAUGGGAGGGAGAGUCAAGCAGAGGCAUACACAUUCCAUUCCUAGCUUGGGCAGUGGCUAGUGAGUGGAAGGCAAUCUGCUACAAGU